GGCGUGGCAUACGGCUCAGUAACACGUAGUCAACAUGCCCAAAGGACGUGGAUAACCUCGGGAAUCUGAGGAUAAACCGCGAUAGGCCAAGGUUUCUGGAAUGAGCCAUGGCCGAAAUCUAUACGGCCUUUGGAUUGGACUGCGGCCGAUCAGGCUGUUGGUGAGGUAAUGGCCCACCAAACCUGUUACCGGUACGGGCUUUGAGAGAAGGAGCCCGGAGAUGGGCACUGAGACAAGGGCCCAGGCCCUAUGGGGCGCAGCAGGCGCGAAACCUCUGCAAUAGGCGAAAGCUUGACAGGGUUAUUCUGAGUGAUCUCCGAUAAGGAGAUCUUUUGGCAUCUCUAAAAAUGAUGCAGAAUAAGGGGUGGGCAAGUCUGGUGUCAGCCGCCGCGGUAAUACCAGCACCCC
rnacentral:rRNA from 1 species